AUUUGGCAUUGUUCCUUCUCGGCAAUCAGUUUAAUUUUGAUGUCAGUAAUUUUUUAUCACCCUGAUCCGGCAAGGCAAGUGUCUAAAUGCUCAGUCGUGAAUGUAAUUCGACUGAUCAUGAAGAUUGCAUUCAUAUACAUUCAGGGCCGUAAGCAGGAUUUUUUUACCAGGGGGCAGUAAGGCCUAUAUGCCGAAAAGGACCCAAAUAUCCAAAGAAUAAUUAAUAAUGACAUUCUAAAAAUCGUAAAUAUAGUUUUCUCUGGGGGCAGUUGCCCCCUUGCCCCCCCCCCCCGUUGUGUACGGCCCUGUAUACAUUCAAAUCAGAGUAGCAGGCGAAAACAUGUUUACCACAGCAAUAGUUUUGCAUAUCUUGAUUAUUGUCCUCUAUUAUAUUGAUUCUCUACUGGUUUUUCUUGUUGUAUAUCCAUGUUCUGAAAGUACCUUGGGCUUACAUGCGCCGUUAUCCAUAUUUAUAGAUUAAAAAUGAAAAACAAGUUUACAAAAUAUUUGAAGAAAAAUUGAAUAAUAUAAAGCAAGAAUUGAAAAAUCAGAAGCAAAGUUUUGAACAAAAAUUAAAGAACACAGAACAGAAAUUGGAACAUCAGAACCAAAUGUUUGAACAAAAAUUAAAUACUACACAACAAGAAUUGGAAAGUCAGAUCACGGCUCUGAAUGACAAAUUUGCUUUAUAUAGUUCCAAAGGUGAGUUUAUAUAAAAUUAUUUUGUAGUUAAUUAA